UCCCCGUUCUCCUGGUAGUCCACGCCCUAAACGAUGUCGACUAGGUGUUGGGGAAGCGAUUCCUUGGUACCGAAGCUAACGCGUGAAGUCGACCGCCUGGGGAGUACGGCCGCAAGGUUAAAACUCAAAGGAAUUGACGGGGACCCGCACAAGCGGUGGAUGAUGUGGAUUAAUUCGAUGCAACGCGAACAACCUUACCUACCCUUGACAUGUCCGGAAGCCUGCUGAAAGGCGGGGGUGCCCGAAAGGGAACCGGAACACAGGUGCUGCAUGGCUGUCGUCAGCUCGUGUCGUGAGAUGUUGGGUUAAGUCCCGCAACGAGCGCAACCCUUGUCCCUAGUUGCUACGCAAGGGCACUCUAGGGAGACUGCCGGUGACAAACCGGAGGAAGGUGGGGAUG
rnacentral:misc_RNA from 1 species